rnacentral:sRNA from 1 species
UGAUAGUCAGCGGUGGGCGCCUCCGCCUCU